rnacentral:rRNA from 1 species
AGGAAAUAGAUACCUGGGUAGUCCACGCCGUAAACGAUGAAUGCUAGACGUUGGGACCCCUAGGGUUUCAGUGUCGCCGCUAAACGCAUGAAGCAUUCCACCUGGGGAGUACGGCCGCAAGGUUAAAACUCAAAGGAAUUGACGGGGGCCCGGCACAAGCGGUGGAGCAUGUGGUUUAAUUCGACGCAACGCGCAGAACCUUACCAGCCCUUGACAUGGGACGUUUGGGCCUGAGAGAUCGGGUCCUUCAGUUCGGCUGGCGUCCACACAGGUGCUGCAUGGCUGUCGUCAGCUCGUGUCGUGAGAUGUUGGGUUAAGUCCCGCAACGAGCGCAACCCUCAUCCUCAGUUGCCAUCGGGUAGGGCCGGGCACUCUGAGGAAACUGCCGGUGACAAGCCGGAGGAAGGCGGGGAUGACGUCAAGUCCUCAUGGCCCUUACGGGCUGGGCUACACACGUGCUACAAUGGCGGUGACAGUAGGAUGCGAAGGGCGACCCGGAGCCAAUCCACGAAAAGCCGUCUCAGUUCGGAUUGUACUCU